AGAGCGAACGCUGGCGGCAGGCCUAACACAUGCAAGUCGAGCGCCCGUAGCAAUACGGGAGCGGCAGACGGGAGAGUAACACGUGGGAACGCGCCCUUCGGUUCGGAAUAACUCAGGGAAACUUGAGCUAAUACCGGAUACGCCCUUACGGGGAAAGAUUUAUUGCCGAAGGAACGGCCCGCGUCCGAUUAGCUAGUUGGUGAGGUAAUGGCUCACCAAGGCGACGAUCGGUAGCUGGUCUGAGAGGAUGACCAGCCUCACUGGGACUGAGACACGGCCCAGACUCCUACGGGAGGCAGCAGUGGGGAAUAUUGGACAAUGGGCGCAAGCCUGAUCCAGCCAUGCCGCGUGAGUGAUGAAGGCCUUAGGGUUGUAAAGCUCUUUUAGCAGGGAAGAUAAUGACGGUACCUGCAGAAAACGCCCGGACUAACUUCGUGCCAGCAGCCGC
rnacentral:rRNA from 1 species